rnacentral:lncRNA from 1 species
CCAGCAGCAAGUAUCAGCACAGGCAGCUAAGUGGCUACACAGAGAAAAGGGCAACUCAACAAGGGCAGGAAAGGAUACAGAGAGGCCAAGUCAGCCAGAAUGGAGCUUUGAGGAGUGAGAGAGAAAAUCCUUGCAAAGAAAGGUAACAAGCAGCUGGGUUUUGAAAGGCCUUCGCAGACAGUGGGAGCCAUUAAAGUCACCAGAGGAGAUUCACGUGGUCGAGUCACCACUUUGGAAGAUUCAACUGGCAGAGACAUAUAGGAAGGAUUGCAAGGAAUAAAACAAGGAUUGCAAGAAAUACAGGAAGGAUUGCAAGAAAUAAAAAUCAAGCUCAAUGCUGCUCGUAGAGACACAGAAGGAGUGGGUGAGACUAAGAUGCUUCAUGUGGACAUGGUUGCUGAGGACACCCAGCUGCUGGUAUUCAGCAGUUAACUGGGGCUACAGUCCAGAAAAUUAGAAAAGGCAGAGAAGCAAAGCCAUGAGAAAAAGUCAUCCCUCAUCACACCACGCUGAGAUAACCCCUGUUAAUAUGUUUGUGCUGAUCUGCCUGGACUUGGUAACAGCCUCUUACAUCCUCGGUUGGAAGCCAGCCUGGAAACCCUGAAGAAACAAAUGACAGCCAAGAGGACAAUGGCAACCAGCUCCCCCUCUGGGCGGCAUGCUCUUUCUCUCACUUGGUUGGUCUUUCCCAUUGGAGCGGAAGGACUCGAGCCAUGAUCCUUUGUAGAGCUGGACCCUGCCCAGGUACCCAGGGCUGCACAGGCAUUUGGAGAGAUGUUCUGGAGAAGCAGCAAGAAGCCUUGUGCCCUGCAGAAAGCUGUGAUCUGACACAUCCUGAGGCGUCCCAAGUCUCCAGCUCUACGUUUGUCCCUAAAGAGGUGUUUUGCCAGACUGCUUGCAUAAGCACCUCUAGAUAAGCCUCUAGCAGCAAGAUUAUGGCUCAGUAGGAUUCACCACUUGCACCUGCAGCUGGAGUAGGAAAGAAGGCGGGCUUCAGAGCCGAGAAUGCAAGCCCCUGGGAAGGCCCUGUGCACUCAGUGCUCUGCUGGGCCCUGGAUGGUCCCACGGAAGUGAAAGUCACAAUUCAUGCCUUCGAGGAAUCCAUAGUCUUCCAGCAAAAAUUUGGAAACAACUCAGAAUCACCAUGCAAAUGUGGCUGUGAUAGCAAUUAUCUGCCAGGGGGCUGCAUGGCGUGGUGUCUUCCGGGCUGACCCUGGGGCUGCACUGCCUGGGUUUGAAUCCUGGCUCUGCAUAGUACUUUGGGUAAUCGCUUGUGCUCUCUCUGCCUCCGUUGCUUCAUUUGUCACAAAAGCAUCACAGUACCCACUUAUAGUGUUGUCAUGAGAAUCGUUUGGAUUAUUACAAGUAGAGUACUCUGCAAGUGUUCAUUAUGGAUUAGAGCAGGGGCUUUUGAAGCACACGGCAUAGUGGAGUUAGUCCGGAAGGCUGCCUGAAGAAGGCUCCUGCUUCGCAUGAGCUAAGCAGUACAGCAGGGAAGGAGUCUGAAUAUGCCUGCUCAGCUGGGUGGAACACAGUGACCAGAAAAAUCUAUCCAUCCUGCUUUUAUGCAACCAUCGGGCCUGAGGUCUGGUUGUCCCAUUAUGGCCUGUAAUGGAGCCGAGGAGUCAGAGGAUCUGUUUGCCCAGGGCCGAGGCAGCUUGUUGCAUAACCAGGGUUGCUGUAUGGCACUUUGCAGAGGAGGGCAUGGCUGAGAAGUGUGUCCCAGCAGCCGGGAGCUCAGGGGGACUCUCCUGGCCUAAGCAGUGCAGCUCCCCAGCACCCACCUCCUACCC